ensembl:snoRNA
CUGGCCCUGAAUCAAGGCCGGCGGUUUCAUGACACUGUUGGUUUCAAACAGGAGCCUAAAGAGAUGUCUUUCUAUGAUCUGUUGGCCAUUUCAGAACUUGGGCAGUGAAAUGAUCAAUUCAUUAGAAAGAAACAGCU